AUACUUUUCUCGGCCUUUUGCCUAAGAUCGAGUGUAGUAUUUGUUCUUAUUAGUUUAAUAUCUGAUAUGUGGACCAAUGGUUCACCUGGUAUUAAAUUUAUUUUUUUAGGGGGAAGGCCCACUACAGUAGCUUGUUAUUUAGGGCCUUUAAGCGUUGCCCGUGCCCUGCACUAUAGCAAGGGCCUGACGCACCCUAC